AGUGAACGCUGGCGGUAGGCCUAACACAUGCAAGUCGAACGGCAGCACAGUAAGAGCUUGCUCUUACGGGUGGCGAGUGGCGGACGGGUGAGGAAUACAUCGGAAUCUACUUUUUCGUGGGGGAUAACGUAGGGAAACUUACGCUAAUACCGUAUACGACCUACGGGCGAAAGCAGGGGAUCUUCGGACCUUGCGCGAUUGAAUGAGCCGAUGUCGGUUUAGCUAGUUGGCGGGGUAAAGGCCCACCAAGGCGACGAUCCGUAGCUGGUCUGAGAGGAUGAUCAGCCACACUGGAACUGAGACACGGUCCAGACUCCUACGGGAGGCAGCAGUGGGGAAUAUUGGACAAUGGGCGCAAGCCUGAUCCAGCCAUACCGCGUGGGUGAAGAAGGCCUUCGGGUUGUAAAGCCCUUUUGUUGGGAAAGAAAAGCAGCAGGUUAAUACCCCGCUGUUCUGACGGUACCCAAAGAAUAAGCACCGGCUAACUUCGUG
rnacentral:rRNA from 1 species